GUUUUAAUAGUUUAAAAAAAACGCCGGUCUUGUAAACCGGAAAUAAGAACUAGCCCCCACUUUUAAAACU
rnacentral:tRNA from 1 species